GACGAACGCUGGCGGCGUGCCUAAUACAUGCAAGUAGAACGCUGAAGAGAGGCUUUUGCCCUUCUUGGAUGAGUUGCGAACGGGUGAUUAACGCGUAGGUAACUUGCCUGGUAGCGGGGGAUCACUAUUGGAAACGAUAUCUAAUAUCGCAUCAAAUGGAUUAUCGCAUGAUAAUCCAUUGAUAGGUGCAAAUGCAUCACUACCAGCUGGACCUGCGUUGUAUUAGGUAGUUGGGGGGGUAACGGCUCACCAAUGCGUCGAUACAUAGACGACCUGAGAAGGUGAACGGCCAAACUGGGACUGAGACACGGGCCAGAAUUCUAAGGGGAGGAGCAGGAGGGAAACAUUGGAAAUGGACGGAAGGCUGAACGAGCAAAGCCGCGGGAGGGAAGAAAGUUUUCGGAUCGGAAAGCUCUGUUGUAAGAGAAGAAAGAGUGUGAGGGUGGAAAGUUGACGCUGUGACGGUAUCUUAACAAAAAGCGACGGCUAACUACGUG
rnacentral:rRNA from 1 species